rnacentral:tmRNA from 1 species
GGGGGUGACCGGUUUCGACAGGUCAUGAACCCGGAUGUCCGGUGCAGGCGGGGGUUGGUCGGAUGGCCCCCUUAUCAAUCCGCCCAAACCAAACUGCCAACGAUAACUUCGAACUGGCCCUCGCCGCCUAAGCUCGCUUAGGUGAUGAGCGAGUCCCCGCGAUCUCUGGGUAGCGGGCUCGUUAAACCUCCUGACGGGUGGCUUCGGCCUGCCGGAUGGGGGCACCAGAUAGGUCCUCCCCACGCCCCCCAAGGAGGAUCGAGAUCACGGGGGCAAGCGUCCCGAGCGGCUCGUCCGUUCCCCGCCGGGUGGCUUCAAGAGCGGACCAAGCCUGUGGAAGAGCCGCCAACCGGCAUGUCUUGGACGGGGGUUCGACUCCCCCCACCUCCACCA